UACGUAGGGUGCAAGCGUUGUCCGGAAUUAUUGGGCGUAAAGAGCUUGUAGGCGGUUUGUCGCGUCUGCUGUGAAAUUUCGGGGCUCAACCCCGAACUUGCAGUGGGUACGGGCAGACUAGAGUGCAGAAGGGCAACUGGGAAUUCUCGGUGUAGCGGUGAAAUGCGUAGAUAUCGAGAGGAACACCUGCGGCGAAGGCGGGUUGCUGGGCUGACACUGACGCUGAUGCGCGAAAGCCAGGGGAGCGAACGGGAUUAGAGUACCCCA
rnacentral:rRNA from 1 species